UACAGAGGGUGCAAGCGUUAAUCGGAAUUACUGGGCGUAAAACGUGCGUAGACGGUUAUUUAAGUCAGGUGUGAAAGCCCAGGACUCAACCUUGGAAUUGCAUUUGAGACUGAAUAGCUAGGGUACGGAAGAGGGAAGCGGAAUUUCCGGUGUAGCGGUGAAAUGCGUAGAUAUCGGAAGGAACACCAAUGACGAAAGCGGCUUCCUGGUCCAGCACCGACGUUCAGGCACGAAAGCGUGGGGAGCAAACAGG
rnacentral:rRNA from 1 species